AACUCCACUUUUCAGAUUUUUUAGUUCAUGUGUAGAGCCCCUGGUUAAACUUCGAGCAAAGUUUCAUGUUGGGUCUAGCCUUCUUAUGUUUAAAAAUGAGCUAUUUUAAGGCUAGCAUAUUGCCCCCUAGCACUCCCAUUCAAAAAGCCAUUUGACCAAAAAACGAGCUUACGGUA